rnacentral:misc_RNA from 1 species
AUAUCACGCAGGCGACAUCGCCACUCGGCCUCUAUUACGCGCCGGACCCCUCGAGCCAGAUGGCCUGCAGCAUCGGCGGCAAUGUUGCCGAAAACUCCGGCGGGCCGCAUUGCCUGAAGUACGGCAUGACGACGAAUCACAUCCUGGAAAUCGAAGCCGUUCUAUCCGAUGGCGAGAUCGUACGUUUGGGUAAUCCCGCAGGAGAGGCGGUCGGGCUCGACCUGGUUGGAGUCAUCGUGGGCUCCGAAGGGACGUUCGCCAUCGUCACCGAAAUCACGAUUCGAUUGUUGCCGAAGCCCCAGGGCGUGAAGACUCUGCUGGCGGCAUUCAAUUCCGUGGAAGACUGCAGUCAGGCUGUUUCGGAUGUGAUCGCCGCUGGAAUCAUGCCCGCAGCUCUCGAGUUCAUGGACGACAAGACGAUCCACGCCGUCGAGGCGUCCGUCUACAAGGCAGGAUAUCCGCUGGAUGCGCGGGCUGUCCUCCUUAUCGAAGUUGAUGGCUUCCGUGAGGGCCUUGAAGAAACGUCAGACGCGAUCGU